rnacentral:rRNA from 1 species
CUACGGGUGGCUGCAGUGAGGAAUCUUUCGCAAUGGGGGAAACCCUGACGAAGCAACACCGCGUGGGGGAUGAAGGCGUUUUCGUUGUAAACUCCUUUUCUGAGGGAAUAAUUCUGAAGGUACCUCAGGAAUAAGCAUCGGCUAACUACGUGCCAGCAGCCGCGGUAAGACGUAGGAUGCAAGCGUUAUCCGGAAUUAUUGGGCGUAAAGAGUUCGUAGGCGGUUUAUUAAGUUGGAUGUCAAAUCUUUGAGCUCAACUCAAAGCCGGUAUCCAAAACUGGUAAGCUAGAGACAGGUAGAGGUAGAUGGAAUUCUGCAUGUAGGGGUUAUAUCCGUAGAUAUGCAGAGGAACACCAAAAGCGAAGGCAGUCUACUGGACCUGUUCUGACGCUAAAGAACGAAAGCGUGGGUAGCGAACGGGAUUAGAUACCCCAGUAGUC